rnacentral:rRNA from 1 species
CCUACGGGUGGCAGCAGUGAGGAAUAUUGGUCAAUGGGCGCGAGCCUGAUCCAGCCAAGUAGCGUGAAGGAUGACUGCCCUACGGUUUGUAAACUUCUUUUAUAAAGGAAUAAAGUGAGGCACGUGUGCCUUUUUGCAUGUACUUUAUGAAUAAGGAUCGGCUAACUCCGUGCCAGCAGCCGCGGUAAUACGGAGGAUCCGAGCGUUAUCCGGAUUUAUGGGGUUUAAAGGGAGCGUAGAUGGGUUGUUAAGUCAGUUGUGAAAGUUUGCGGCUCAACCGUAAAAUUGCAAUUGAUACUGGCAGUCUUGAGUACAGUUGAGGUAGGCGGAAUUCGUGGUGUAGCGGUGAAAUGCUUAGAUAUCACGAAGAACUCCGAUGGCGAAGGCAGCUUACUAAACUGACACUGACAUUGAUGCUCGAAAGUGUGGGUAUCAAACAGGAUUAGAUACCCCGGUAGUC